rnacentral:rRNA from 1 species
UACGUAGGGGGCAAGCGUUGUCCGGAAUUAUUGGGCGUAAAGAGCGUGUAGGCGGUCCGGUAAGUCAGCUGUGAAAGUCAAGGGCUCAACCCUUGAAUGCCGGUUGAUACUGUCGGGCUAGAGUCCGGAAGAGGCGAGUGGAAUUCCCGGUGUAGCGGUGAAAUGCGCAGAUAUCGGGAGGAACACCUAUGGCGAAGGCAGCUCGCUGGGACGUUACUGACGCUGAGACGCGAAAGCGUGGGGGAGCAAACAGG